rnacentral:lncRNA from 1 species
AUGUCCACACCUCACGAUUUCGGCCCGGGAAAGAAAGCGAGCGGUGGAAAGCCUGGCCCCGAAGACAGAUCAAGCCCACAGGAAUCUGGCCCCUCGCAAGUCCCCUCCCACCUUUGGCCCCGACCCUUAACACUCCCUUCCUCCCUCCUUCCUUUGAAAGCAGGCCCUUGCCUCAGAAACCUCUUCUUCCUCGUCGUCGUCGUCCUCUUCUUCCUCGCUGUUGUUGCUGCUGGUGCCGCCGCCACCUCCUCCGCCGCCGCCGCCGCCUCCACCGCCGCCGCUGUUGUCGCUGUCGCUGCUGCUUUCGCUGCUGCUGGGGGGUCGGCAAGUCCGGUUACGCUUGGCCUUGUGGUGCUGCUGCUGCGGCGGCUUCUUCUUCAGGAGCAGAUCGCAGACUCGCACCAUCCCACGAGGAGACGAGGCCGAGCGAGCCCCGCUGCCGCCGCCAAUGCCGCUGCCGACCUCCGCUGCUGCUGCUGCUGCUGCUGCCGCCGCCGCCGCCGCCGCCGCCGCCGCGGGGGGGCCCGCCACAGCCGCCACCGCCGGGGGGCUCCCUUCUCCCUCAGCCGCCGCCGCUGCCGCCGCCACCGGAACCGUCGCCUUCUCCAUCUCCGGGGAAAGAGGGAGGGCGCGGACGGGGGAGGGGCGUGGGGGCUACGCUCUGCCGCGACUUCGGCCGCACCGGGGCCGACACAGCGCUCGGUGCCGCCUCCGCCGCCACCGCCUCGGUCACCUCUACUGCCGCCGCCGCCGCCGCCGCUCCGCCAGCUCUCACCUCGUCUCGCGAUACUAAGGGCGGGGAGCCUGACGAUGGGAGGGAGGGAGAGGGAGGGAGAGGGAGGGAGCGUGAGGGAGCAAGGCGGGGGGUGGGGGGAGCGAAGAGGGAGACCCGGGUGCCCGGAGAUCCAGCAGAGGGGAGACUACCGAGAGUCGGGGGAAGUGUGCCUAGGGCGACUUCCGAUGGGGGGGACGGCGGGGACAGAGGAGGGCCGCGGUGACUGCCGUAGCGCCCGCUAG